CAUGUCUCUUUAAAUUUGCUGAAGAAGAUAUUCCUUCUGGCCCACAGGAUGCCAAAAUGACUUGAUGAUUUAUUUAUGCAGCACUUGGCAGCCCAUAGUCCAGAUUGUGGCUGAGACUGAAUCUUAUGAACCGCCCCCCAAACAGACAUACCAGAGGACAGAGCUGGAAAAUACACAGGUCACUGGUGCCAGGUAGCAGCCUGUACCCUGGAGGUCUUUCCGUAUCUCAGGCCAAAGACUGGUAAUCUCCCCGGGCAACGCCGAGAUAACACAUGUCAGGAGGCGGCAGUGGCUGGUAAACCAACUCAUCACCCACCUCGUCCCACCGCCCCUUCCGGCCCCCUCCCGUUGCAGUCUUCUCCAUGCCAUUCCAGAAGCCACAGACCUUUGGUGGACCAGGAGGGAAGGCAGAAGGGAUGGGGAAUGCAGAACACAUGCAGCAAGAGGGAUCUGGUGAGGCAGAACCCAGCAGGUGAACAAUGACUCAUUUAGAAACGUGCAGCUGGGGUGUGUUAUUUGCAUACCAGGGACCCUUUGUUAAAGUGGCUUCGUGCAGUGUGGGCGCAGCAGCAGGGGCGGGGGGAACACAUGAAUCCCCCUACAGAGCAGAGUCACUUCCCAUCUAAUUUGGGCACAAGUUGAGAGAAGGCGCUCUCAUCGGGAACCUGCUGCAGAGAAGCUGCGAGGUUCUGAGAUUUAUUUUCCGUCUGCCGAGUAUAUUAUUUCCAAACUUGCCUUUUCAAGAUCUUGCAAACUCCCUGGAAAAAUGACUUAACAAUGUAAUGAAAACAACAGUGAAACAAAAGCCGCUGUUGAUGAGGGACAGAGGUAAGGCUGGGUUUGAAAUGAGUGACGAACCUCGUAAUGAGGUGUGCAGCUUUGUGUAUGAAGCGAUUUCUCUGCGGUACUUUUCCAGAUGUGAUGGAAUACAUUUAUUUUGGUGCUCAUCUGAACUGAAAUAAUACAAAUGAGAUACGAAAAAGAUAUCAUUACGUGCAGAAGUAGGCGAAGAAUUUAGAAUCCCAGUUCUACAAGUUAACAGCUGUGCGCCCAGCAAUUUCGAAACAGCCUCGAGUCUGCAGGUUGCCCAGGAACCUCUGUCAAGCUCGUAUGGGCCAGCGAUGAUCUACGUGUGAAUCCUGCAUGUUGAUAGCUCAAGUCUACUUUAUUUCGGGCAAAAAUAAAUAGCUGGUAGUAAGAAGUCUGUCUGCACCGAGAGCCUGUGCUACCACUGAAUGCAGCCGCUGUGGUGGUGCAAUAAAACGGGAUGAGUUUUCAACUAGCAGAUGGUACCCUGUACAGUGCCUGAAAUAAAAUGGAGAAUUAGGGUGCCCUAAGGUGUGCACAGGAAAGGCAAUUACAUGAAAUAAAUGGGCCUCAGGCCUACAGGAUGCUCAAGUAUGCUACACAGGAGACAAAUAGUACAUCUGGUGAACAGAUUUUAUCACACACUGGAAAGCCAUAAAGCACACCGUUGAAUAUCCGAUCCCCAUCUCACAAUGACAUUUUACCUGUGUUGGUAUUCAGUGCUGUUUAUUUUAAAAGGUGCUGUAAUCUCAAUGAUGUGUUUUAAAAGCCUCCUUAACACGGUUUUCUACUAUGUACGAUUUGGGGGAGGGGGACAGACACAAACCACGCAAUGAGAAUUUUGUGGACGAAUAGCCGCUCUGGUGGGACGAGAUGAGGUUUUGAUUUCAUUUACCCCAUUGCUGAUGUGACUUUGGUAAUAGGAUUAUACUUGUCAGCACUCCCUGUUUGGGAAAAUGCCAACAUAUUUUUAAUCCUAGUUCCCACAUCUCCAUUUCAUUGUCUGUAACCUCGCUAGAGUUUCCCUCCCUGCCCCCCCACCCACCCUUUUUCUUAAUGUUCAAAGAAUAAGCGAUCAGAGGUGGUGAGGGUUUGCAAGGAGAAUUUGUUGGCAUGGAGCCCCUUCUCCUUUCUUCCUCCACAAACGCAAAAUGCUUUCUGUUUGAAUAUUGUGUGUUCCUUUUCUAUUGUUAAAAAAAAAAAAAAAAAAAGACUGAGGAGCACGUAACAUUCAUUAUUGUUUUAAGAGUUGCUGUAAUAAAAUCCUCUCAGUACUUAAAGAUAGUUUUAGUGUCCCUCCUAGGAUUCAUUCUGGCUUUCAUAAUUGGGUAAUUGCAUCCCCUCCCCCACCAAUAAAUAUUUUCACCCAAUUAAGUUUAAAACUAUAAUAAAUUUUAAAGAAUUAUAGUCUAAAAAUUCAUACCCUAGAACCAGUACUAAGUAUGAAUAUUUAUCUUAAGCCACAGAGCAGUGCAGCCUGU